UGGGCUUGACAUGUAGGUCAUACCCGUGGAAACACGGGGUCAGUUCGGCUGGACCUUCACAGGUGGUGCAUGGCUGUCGUCAGCUCGUGUCGUGAGAUGUUGGGUUAAGUCCCGCAACGAGCGCAACCCCCGUCGUAUGUUGCCAGCAUUUAGUUGGGGACUCAUGCGAGACUGCCGGUGACAAACCGGAGGAAGGUGGGGAUGACGUGUGCGUAACAGAA
rnacentral:misc_RNA from 1 species